AGUCGAGUUCUAGCCUUUGAUUGCGUUGAAAAGCUUGGAGGAGGUGUUUUCGGGAGAGGUUUUGCCUGGAGAUUCUUGGGGUUUUAACUUCAACCUUUGAGGUACUCGUCAUGACACUUAGCUUGGAUUGCAUGGAGUGCACAUUGAGACGUCACUUGAGAGCUUCAUUGGAAUCUUUAAGGAGUGGUUUAUCAUCGAGUUUACUUCAUGUCAUGUACUUUACUUGCAAUUGAAGGUUAUACCUUUUGAUUAGAUCAUAUGUAAAGCUAUGUAUAAAGUCCUCUCAUUGAUUAUUAUGAAACCCAUUCAAU